GAUGCAUAGCACAUGAAAUGGGAAACAUUACCAGGAAAAAAAGAUAUAAAUUGCAUUGGGUUUAUAAAACAAAACUAGACCAUUUAAAGUUCUGUUCAUUUAUGAAACAGACAUAAAACUCUUUAAAAAUGUUAACAUAUAUAUGCAGGAAUUACUGCAAAGAUUAAUAUUUGUUGCCCCUUUAAUACAAUCAUUCUAAAGAUCUUUACCCUUCACAUUCAACAUGGAAAGAUAUGAAUGUGGUAAUGUUUUUUAAAAAUUUAAGGGCAUCACUUAAUAGACCAUUUAAAGGUAAUAAUGUUUGUGAUUAUUUCCAAAGUAUUGCUUACUGAUUUUAAAUUAUGACCCCUGAAAACACUAAGUAUAACAUGCUUCACAAGUAUAUUUCUAUGGCACUUUGUUCAUUUGAUAGCACUUAUCACUUAUAAUUACAUGUUUACACAUCUGUUUUUCACACUGUUUUGAAUCUCUGGAGGACAGGAAUUGUCUUGUUCAUCUUUUAACACACAAUGUAGUAUGCAUUGAAUAAAUGUGUGAAUGAAUGGAUAGGCCUUGGCUGAUAGUUAAUUAUUGAACUUUUGAAGGUGUGUAAACUUUGUUUCACAGCACUGACAGGCGGAAUCUUAAUUCCAUUUUGUAAUGGGAAUUUCGGGUUCUCAGGGAAGUGUCUCAGGGAAGUGUCGGAAUAGGGGAGUGCUAAAGGCCAAGUCAAUAAUCCAUGCAUGGUGGGCCUGAAGCAUGAAGGGAACAGCUGGAUCCAGCUGGAAAAUUAAAUUGCAGGCAUUUUGGAGAGCCUUGAAGGUCCCAGGAACUGGUUUGCAUUUCCAGUGUCUCUGAGGAAAAAAACAUACCUGUAAUUUAGGUUCCUAUCUGGUGGCAUUAUGAAGUAUGAGUUAGAGAAAGAUUGGAGUCAAGGAAAGUAGUUUAGGAAGCAUCAUUGUCCACACAAGGGAGAAAUGAAGGUCUGAAUUAGGGCAGUGGGAGUAGAAGGGAAGAAACAUUUAAGACACUGCCCUGUAAAAUCAGUCCUUAACAACUGGUUACACGUAAGGAAGGGUCAGAGAGGAGACUGACUUACCUCUGAGUUUCCUUAGAGCCUGGGUUCCCCAGACCUGUGUGUGUGUGUGAUAGUGGCAUUUUAAAAAAUUAUGUCUGUCUAGCUAUUUAUUUAGUGUGCUCUCAAAUACUUCUCUCAGGUACCAAAACAUGUUAAAAAUGUCCACCUUGUGCCUAAAAACAAUACAUUUUAAAGCUAGUCCAGUGUAUUCACAAUGUAUGUGUUUCUAAGUGUUCUACUUGUCAAAAUAUUCUGCUCAGAUCUAAGAUAAGUUCUCAAAGACUACAUUUUACUGUUUUUAACCAUUGAUUGAACCAUUGAUGUCCUCAUUUUCCUCAUUCUGAUACUUUUCACUUCAGUGUCAUAAUAAUAAUCUGAUUGCUCAAUGACGUGGAAAUUAUAGAUUAAGCUGUUCGGAAAACAAGGGGGAGUAUAUUUUCAUCUGGCGGGUGUAAAGCCACCUCUUGGGAGGGUAAGAGACUGAGCAGUGGCCAACUUAAACAUUAAGCCCUUGCCCGUAGGCCCCACAGAGGUAUUAGCUCAGUUUGGCAAAGGAAGGAGCAUGUUUAUAUAAUAGAAGCAGUUUUCCCCAUAUUUAAUAAUUCUAACACUUGAAUGGUUUCCCACUUAUAACACUGCAAAGAGGCACACCUCAAUGUUCUUUGAAACAGCUUUUGACACAAAG